GCGGGGAGCAGACCUCGGACGGCUUUUGUGCGGCGGCGGCGGCGGCGGCGGCCCCGGGGAGGGAGGGGCAUGGGGGAUGGGGACGGGGGUGGGGGAUGGGGGCGGGCCUUCUCCCGCUUCCUUCCCUCCGCCCCGGGCCUGGCGCGCCUGCUGCGGCCUCAGCGGCACCCCCGGAGCGCGCGCUCGCGUGCAGUCGGACCCGCCCGCGCUGCCCCCGCGGACCUCCCCACGGCCGCGGCCCCCCCGCCCCGGGCUGCCCGCCCUUCUUGACUGCGCCGAGCAAAUGCAGCUGGGCCCGCUCGAGAAAGAGGAAGAAUGGUCCGUCCCAUGGAGAAGUGAGUAG
rnacentral:lncRNA from 1 species